rfam:Naegleria gruberi genomic scaffold NAEGRscaffold_91, whole genome shotgun sequence.
CUACAAGUAGCUCAGCAGGGAGAGCAUCGGACUGCAGAUCCGUAGGUCGUGAGUUCAAGUCUCACCUUGUGGC